rnacentral:rRNA from 1 species
GUCUAUGGCCACGCCGCCCUGAACGUGCCUGAUCCCGUCUGAUCUCGGAAGCUAAGCAGGGUCGGGUCUGGUUAGUACUUGGAUGGGAGACCACCUAGGAAGACCAGGUGAGGUGUAAU